CGCCUGUUCCUCCAGCCGCAGGAGGGAAAGUGAUUUCUGAAUCCAUCGGAUAUGUCGGAUUUCUUUGUGGCAUCCUCUCCAUCGCUCAGCAGCCAGCCAUGAUGUCAUAAGCCCAUCAGAUUUCCGUAGAGAUUUGGCUUAUUCCAUCACCCCACUUCUGCUGAAUGGUGACGACCAACAUUAACCCCAUCGUCUAUAUGGGGAGUCAUCCCAGAUUACAGGAGUCUCUCAGCAUGAACUGUCAAGUCAGAGAAGCCUUCCUGGAGGUGGUGACAAUGGUCCUGGGGCCUAGGAUAGAUGAGGAGCAUGACACCUCUUACUGGACAAUACUCGGCCCCAAAGACCGCUGGCCGGGAACUCCAAGCAGACGCAGCUGGCCGCGGGGGGCGUGGCCCUAGGCGGAGAGAAGGCGUGGCCUGGGCGGGCGAGGCGGACUCUCCAGCCCAGACCUC